CCCUUUGUGAACAUACCUAACUGUUGCUUCGGCGGGCAGGGGGUCCCCUCGGGGACGCCCUCCCGGCCACGCCCUUCGCGGGGCGAGGCGCCCGCCGGAGGAUACCAAACUCUAUUUUAACGACGUUUCUUCUGAGUGGCACAAGCAAAUAAUUAAAACUUUUAACAACGGAUCUCUUGGUUCUGGCAUCGAUGAAGAACGCAGCGAAAUGCGAUAAGUAAUGUGAAUUGCAGAAUUCAGUGAAUCAUCGAAUCUUUGAACGCACAUUGCGCCCGCCAGCAUUCUGGCGGGCAUGCCUGUUCGAGCGUCAUUUCAACCCUCAAGCUCUGCUUGGUGUUGGGGCCCUACGGUUGACGUAGGCCCUUAAAGGUAGUGGCGGACCCUCUCGGAGCCUCCUUUGCGUAGUAACUAACGUCUCGCAUUGGGAUUCGAAGGGACUCUUGCCGUAAAACCCCC
rnacentral:rRNA from 1 species